rnacentral:rRNA from 1 species
UACAGAGGUCUCAAGCGUUGUUCGGAUUCAUUGGGCGUAAAGGGUGCGUAGGUGGCGCUGUAAGUCAGGUGUGAAAUUUCGGAGCUUAACUCCGAAACUGCAUUUGAUACUGCGGUGCUCGAGGACUGGAGAGGAGACUGGAAUUUACGGUGUAGCAGUGAAAUGCGUAGAGAUCGUAAGGAAGACCAGUGGCGAAGGCGGGUCUCUGGACGAGU